CCUGACUCCUUUUCUCACUCGCUGUGCGAGCAAGCGAGAGAGAUCUUCGUUCUCUUUCUAGGGUUUUCCCCUGGGAUUUUUACACCUCGAUCGUCCUUCCUUUUUUUUUUUUUUUUUUCUUCAUUUAAUUUUCUACAAAUCUCUUUGAUUUCUUCGAUCUUUGAAGAACCUGUCGUGACCUCGAUCUCUUUCUUCAUUUUUUCACCUAGGGUUUCUGCUCCCGAUUCGUAGAUUUUACUCCUUUUUUUCUCGUUUUCUCAGCUUCAAUCUCUGUAAAAGAGCUGGAAUCCUUCUUCGCCGCUCCUUUCUACGAUUCCUGCCCGAGAUUUGUUGUUUUGUCCGUUGGGUUCCUAGACAAUACAUUCAAGAAGGUUGGGAGAAUGUAACAGAGAUUGAAGCAGCAGCAACAGCAACAAACUCUGAUGCAGCAGGCGUUGCUACAGAAGCAGCAACUCUACCAUCCCGGCGUCCUCGCGGCUGCCAUGUCUCAGGGGAUCUGCCGUACUUGAUCCUUGCUGUAUCCAUACUCAUGUACUGUAUUUUUAUACAAUUUUCUCCAAGAAGAUAGUCACGCAUGUGAUUUAGCAGUGAGAAGAAGAAAAAGGAGGAGACAAGUUUUAUUCUUUUGUCAGAGAAGAAGAAGGUGACAAGUUUUAUUCUUUUGCCAGAGAAGAAGGUGACAAGUUUUAUUAUUGAUAGGUUUUGACCCUUCCACUUUCAUGCCUGAUUAAAGUUCUCCUCUGCCCUUUGAUUUUACAGAUGCGGAUUGGCUUGUUACCCGAGGUAGAUGGUGGAAAAGCUAUUUUAUUUGAUUGUAUGUGUUGUACUAAUGUUCUGCAUUUUUGGAGUCAUAUCAUUUCCAGCAGGCUUAUGUUUUUUAAUGCUGUAAAUUUCAGGUUGUAUCCUGGUGAUCCAGUGCUAAAUCCUCUUACACCUUGGGAUAGACCUCCAUUGAAAAACAUUUUCUAUAUAUAUGGGAUAGAUAUAAAGACUGAGGUAAUGU